CUCUGGAAAGCUCCAGGGGAAAUUUGAGGCAUAACCCAGCUUCUCUGAGACGGAACUCAGGGAGGAUCCAGCUCAAUCCUACAGAGGCGACCCCAAGGAAGGACCUGCCCAGGGUCACUUGGAGAGCUGGGCGGGAGGAGGGAGAAACCUCCCCCGUUCAGAGUGACAAAGCCCCCCUUGCCUCAGGGAUGGCUGAGAUCCAAGUCCUCAAAACACGCCGCCAUCUGGAGGGUGUGAGAGCGAGGUCCGUCCUCAGCAUGGACGCUGCAGUGCACACUGUUCCGUGCCAGGUGCUGGCUGACCCUGCCCUGUGGGAGGUGAUGGACAGGCACACAGGGGGAGCCCCGCAAACAAGGGGCCCUGUUACAGCAGAGUGGGAGAGCGCCUGGUAGGACGCCAAGCACCGUGGCCGGGCUGCAGAGAGGCCUGCGGGACUUGUAGACAAGACGUCAUGGAGAAGGCGGAGCUCCCAUGGGCCUUGCAGGUUUCACCAAGCAAGAGCGGAGAAGACACAGGCUGGACAAAGGAAGGUGGACGGGACAGCCAGCCGUGCAGCAGCCUCACAGGACACAGCUACCAGACAGAGAGCACCAGCUGACACUCAUUCCUCCAGCACCAGGAAAUGCCACAGCAGAAGAGAGUCUUCAAGAUGGGCCAGACCCACUUCUGCAGCAUGGUUGCUGGGAGCCUGCACAGGCCAGGCAUUUCUCUACAGGUCCAGUUGCUCUUCAGAACUCAAAAUCCCAUCUCUGCAGGUCUCAGCCAAUCCUGCUCCCGCCUGUUUUUAUUUCCUGCCCAGAGCAAGUACAGAACCGAGGGCCAUCGAUGGGCGAGAAAUCACUGUGCCUCCAAGCUGUAUUUUUCACCGUAACAAGUCAUUACUUCUGUGCCCGGAGUCAUUUCUCAGGAUCUUAAUGCAUUCGUUUAUCAAUCAAUACUUAACUGAUGUCUAUAAAGCAUGUUCAAAAUCAGAGGUGAGAGCAGCUCACCAGGUACCGACUUCGUGUCUGGAGCCACCUUGUUAAGGAGCAACCCUUGGCACGGGUCCCGUGUCUGCACCCUCGGGAGCUCUGGGUGGGUGCACUGGGGUCCUCACAGCCCUUCCCACCACCGC
rnacentral:lncRNA from 1 species